rnacentral:rRNA from 1 species
GUCUGCAGCCAAAUCACAAUGUGCUGUUAUACUUUUAAGUUUACAUGCUAAGCAGGGCUGAGCUGCAUCAGUACUUGGAUGGGAGACCUUAAGGAAGGAGUGUUGUGGCCU